CAGUCGCCGCGGGAAUACGAAGGGGGCUAGCGUUGCUCGGAAUGACUGGGCGUAAAGGGCGCGUAGGCGGAUCACGCAGUCAGAUGUGAAAUUCCUGGGCUUAACCUGGGGGCUGCAUUUGAGACGCGUGGUCUAGAGUGUGAAAGAGGGUCGUGGAAUUCCCAGUGUAGAGGUGAAAUUCGUAGAUAUUGGGAAGAACACCGGUGGCGAAGGCGGCGACCUGGUUCAUGACUGACGCUGAGGCGCGAAAGCGUGGGGAGCAAACAGGAUUAGAUACCCGCGUAGUCCCUGUCUCUUAUAC
rnacentral:rRNA from 1 species